rnacentral:pre_miRNA from 1 species
UACCCCGCCAACCGGACAGGAAAGGCGUGAAGCGCUUCCAGUCCAGCUGGACGGGGACGA